UACGUAGGGUGCAAGCGUUGUCCGGAAUUAUUGGGCGUAAAGAGCUUGUAGACGGUUUGUCGCGUCUGCUGUGAAAUUUCGGGGCUCAACCCCGAACUUGCAGUGGGUACGGGCAGACUAGAGUGUGGUAGGGGAGACUGGAAUUCCUGGUGUAGCGGUGAAAUGCGCAGAUAAUCAGGAGGAACACCGAUGGCGAAGGCGGGACUCUGGGCCGAUACUGACGCUGAGGAGCGAAAGCGUGGGGAGCAAACAGG
rnacentral:rRNA from 1 species